rnacentral:rRNA from 1 species
AACGAACGCUGGCGGCAUGCCUAACACAUGCAAGUCGAACGAGACCUUCGGGUCUAGUGGCGCACGGGUGCGUAACGCGUGGGAAUCUGCCCUUGGGUUCGGCAUAACAGUUGGAAACGACUGCUAAUACCGGAUGAUGACGUAAGUCCAAAGAUUUAUCGACCAAGGAUGAGCCCGCGUAGGAUUAGCUAGUUGGGGAGGUAAAGGCUCACCAAGGCGACGAUCCUUAGCUGGUCUGAGAGGAUGAUCAGCCACACUGAGACUGAGACACGGCCCAGACUCCUACGGGAGGCAGCAGUGGGGAAUAGUGGACAAUGGGCGAAAUCCUGAUCCAGCAAUGCCGCGAGAGUGAUGUAGGCCUUAGGGUUGUAAAGCUCUUUUACCCGGGAUGAUAAUGACGGUACCGGGAGAAUAAGCUCCGGCUAACUCCGUG